rnacentral:lncRNA from 1 species
AUGCUCAAAAUUCUCCAAGCCAGGCUUCAGCAAUACGUGAACCAUGAACUUCCAGAUGUUCAAGCUGGUUUUAGAAAAAAAGGAACCAGAGAUCAAAUUGCCAACAUCCGCUGGAUCAUCGAAAAAGCAAGAGAGUUCCAGAAAAGCAUCUAUUUCUGCUUUAUUGACUAUGCCAAAGCCUUUGACUGUGUGGAUCUCAAUAAACUGUGGAAAAUUCUUCAAGAGAUGGGAAUAUCAGACCACCUGACCUGCCUCUUGAGAAACCUAUAUACAGGUCAGGAAGCAACAGUUAGAACUGGACAGGGAACAACAGACUGGUUCCAAAUAGGAAAAAGAGUACAUCAAGGCUGUAUAUUGUCACCCUGCUUAUUUAACUUCUGUGCAGAGUACAUCAUGAGAAAUGCUGAGCUGGAAGAAACACAGGCUGGAAUCAAGAUUGCCGGGAGAAAUAUCAAUAACCUCAGAUAUGCAGAUGACACCACCCUUAUGGCAGAAAGUGAAGAGGAACUAAAAAGCCUCUUGAUGAAAGUGAAAGAGGAGAGUGAAAAGGUUGGCUUAAAGCUCAAUAUUCAAAAAACUAAGAUCAUGGCAUCUGAUCCCAUCACUUCAUGGCAAAUAGAUGGGAAAACAAUGGAAACAGUGUCAGACUUUAUUUUUGGGGGCUCCAAAAUCACUGCAGAUGGUGAUUGCAGCCAUGAAAUUAAAACACACUUACUCCUUGGAAGGAAAGUUAUGACCAAGGUAGAUAGCAUAUUGAAAAGCAGAGACAUUACUUUGACAACAAAGGUCCGUCUAGUCAAGGCUAUGGUUUUUCCAGUGGUCAUGUAUGGACGUGAGAGUUGGACUAUGAAGAAGGCUGAGCGCCGAAGAAUUGAUGCUUUUGAACUGUGGUGUUGGAGAAGACUCUUGAGAGUCCCUUGGACUGCAAGGAGAUCCAACCAGUCUAUUCUAAAGGAGAUCAGCCCUGGGAUUUCUUUGGAGGGAAUGAUGCUAAAGCUGAAACUCCAGUCCUUUGGCCACCUCACGCGAAGAGUUGACUGA